GCACGGGUGAGUAACGCGUAUCCAACCUUCCGUACACUCAGGGAUAGCCUUUCGAAAGAAAGAUUAAUACCUGAUGGUAUCUUAAACACACAUGUAAUUAAGAUUAAAGAUUUAUCGGUGUACGAUGGGGAUGCGUUCCAUUAGGUAGUAGGCGGGGUAACGGCCCACCUAGCCAACGAUGGAUAGGGGUUCUGAGAGGAAGGUCCCCCACAUUGGAACUGAGACACGGUCCAAACUCCUACGGGAGGCAGCAGUGAGGAAUAUUGGUCAAUGGACGAGAGUCUGAACCAGCCAAGUAGCGUGAAGGAUGAAGGUCCUACGGAUUGUAAACUUCUUUUAUAAGGGAAUAAAACCUCCCACGUGUGGGAGCUUGUAUGUACCUUAUGAAUAAGCAUCGGCUAACUCCGUGCCAGCAGCCGCGGUAAUACGGAGGAUGCGAGCGUCAUCCGGAUUUAUUGGGUUUAAAGGGAGCGCAGACGGGUCGUUAAGUCAGCUGUGAAAGUUUGGGGCUCAACCUUAAAAUUGCAGUUGAUACUGGCGUCCUUGAGUGCGGUUGAGGUGUGCGGAAUUCGUGGUGUAGCGGUGAAAUGCUUA
rnacentral:rRNA from 1 species